ACGGGAGGCAGCAGUGGGGAAUAUUGGGCAAUGGGGGAAACCCUGACCCAGCAACGCCGCGUGAAGGAAGAAGGCUUUCGGGUUGUAAACUUCUUUUACCAGGGACGAAGGACGUGACGGUACCUGGAGAAAAAGCCACGGCUAACUACGUGCCAGCAGCCGCGGUAAUACGUAAGGUGCGAGCGUUGUUCGGAAUCAUCGGGCGUAAAGGGCAUGUAGGCGGUCUGUCAAGCCAGGCGUGAAAGCCAGGGGCUCAACCCCUGAACUGCGCUUGGAACUGGCGGACUGGAGUCGCUGAGGGGGAACCGGAAUUCCUGGUGUAGGGGUGAAAUCUGUAGAUAUCAGGAAGAACACCGAUGGCGAAGGCAGGUUUCCAGCAGACGACUGACGCUGAGGUGCGAAGGUGCGGGGAGCAAACAGGAUUAGAUACCCUGGUA
rnacentral:rRNA from 1 species